GAGUAACACGUGGGUGAUCUGCCCUGUACUUCGGGAUAAGCCUGGGAAACUGGGUCUAAUACCGGAUAUGACCUUACAUCGCAUGGUGUUUGGUGGAAAGAUUUAUCGGUACAGGAUGGGCCCGCGGCCUAUCAGCUUGUUGGUGGGGUAAUGGCCUACCAAGGCGACGACGGGUAGCCGGCCUGAGAGGGCGACCGGCCACACUGGGACUGAGACACGGCCCAGACUCCUACGGGAGGCAGCAGUGGGGAAUAUUGCACAAUGGGCGAAAGCCUGAUGCAGCGACGCCGCGUGAGGGAUGACGGCCUUCGGUUUGUAAACCUCUUUCGACAGGGACGAAGCGCAUGUGACGGUACCUGUAAAAGAAGCACCGGCCAACUACGUGC
rnacentral:rRNA from 1 species